UUCAAUAAUCUUUUACGGAAAGCAAACAUUUCAUUUUAUGGCCAAUUUCGCAAAGGAUUUCUCAAAGUUGUCAUUUAGAUUUUUUUCGGAUUGAUUCAAAGAUAAUGAUUCAACACUUUGGAGAUAUCUUCCAUAGGAAUGCUGAUAUUCCCUUGCCUGUAUUUCCUUAAAAAAAUCACAUAAAAAUCAAUAAAAUAAAAUCAUUCCUCCAACAAGUCUCAUAAAUUUCGUCAAUCGAAGAAAUAAAACAAUUUGAACUUUUAAUCAAUGAAAAACUGAUUCUUGGGAAGUAAUACACGUGUGGCUAUUUGCAAAAAUUAUUAAAAAAAAGUUUUUAGUUUGAUAAUUUAACGUAUCAAAAAACGAAGAUUGGGGGUUAAAUUCUAAUUGCAAAAAAGAGAAGUAAUUUAGAAAGUCCUGAAAUAUUAAGGAUCUAGUGCCACAAUAAUUUUCCCAUGAAACCACAUUGGAUUCUCCAAGAAGAAUAAAUCAAGGUCAACCGCUCAUACUGAUGAGGAAAGAGCCAAAUGAAUCUCCAAGGUCACUUGCUUAUCAGAUUAUAGCGUCGUAGAUUUACCAGUUAUAAUUUUUUCUUAGAAAAAUCUGAUUUAUGGACGAAUAAUAUUUCCAUAUAAUAGCUUCCGUCCAAAAUAGAGUAUCAUAUCUCUGUGGCACGUGGAAAUUGCUGGAGAAUAUUAGGAAAAUGUGAGUCGCAAAAGGAAAUUUAUACCGAAAGACGAACGUAAGAAUGAAGUUUGGGAGGUUAAUAUAGAAAUUGAUGUUAUAGAUUACCCUCAUACUGUUAUGCAAUAUUAACAUUGAUAUUCCCGUAUCAUAUAUUUGUGAUUGCCAUAAACGCCUA